rnacentral:snRNA from 1 species
ACCGCUUCUCGGCCUUUUGGCUAAGAUCAAGUGUAGUAUCUGAUAUACUUGGGUGUAAUCUACAAUCAUAUUAUAUGACUUUUAUUUGUUCUCCUGUUCUACGUUCCUUUU